rnacentral:rRNA from 1 species
CGAAAGCCUGACGGAGCAACGCCGCGUGAGGGAGGAAGGCCUUAGGGUUGUAAACCUCUUUUCUCAAGGAAGAAGACCUGACGGUACUUGAGGAAUAAGCCUCGGCUAACUCCGUGCCAGCAGCCGCGGUAAGACGGAGGAGGCAAGCGUUAUCCGGAAUUAUUGGGCGUAAAGCGUCCGCAGG